UACUCGACACACGCCUCGAAGCCUCGGCUCAUCACGUAACAUCACUAAUUAGUUGCAUGUGUACAGAAUGUUCUGUAUGCUUUAGGGCAAUAAUUUCGGUCUCCUGUCAGCUGUUAGCUCAGUGCACAAGCUAAUAUCACCCAAUACAAACAUAUUGUGGAAUUGCUUGGUCACUCUUAAAGUUGGACAGCAGAGCAUUUGAGGAGACGGAGAGAGCCGGAUGAGACGAUGGAAACGUUAAAGGUUUUCCUGCUGAUCUCAGCUCUUGGUGUUGCCGUGGUUUCAUCACAGCUAUAUGAAGAUUUUUGGACUGAUUUGGAUUAUCCCAAUUAUUAUGAAUACAAUUACACAUACAUUUGGAACACAUCGGUCUCUGUUUUCUCUUCAGCUGCCAAACAUUCACCACAGAGAGGAGCUGUUGUCACUAAAUAUAUGCUUCCUGUAAUCUUACAUUUGUGCCUGAAAGAUUGAAAAUAAUGAUAAUAAAGCAGAACAACAGACCAUUUGUACAAGCUUUGUUUAACUGUAACCCUGCAGAAGAGGUGUUAAGUAAGAUAAACAAAUAGUGUUAAAAUAAACCAAAUAAUGUAAUUUCUGCUCCAUUAUGCAACAAUGUAAUAAACUUUAAAUAAACAAUGUGGUCUAAAACA